GUAAAUAAACACUAAAAAAAAAUUUAAGAAUCUUCUGAGCCUUAAAUUUUCUCAACUGAGAAUCAGAGAUCACAACAGUGAGAUUUUACACUGUUGGGAUUUAGACAAAGCCCAAGAGACAGGUGAGCUACUGUAUUUCCUUGAGUAUAGGAUGCCCCUGGCAAGGUGCUUGGUGAACCUGUACCCCAAGAAAGCACGAAUCCCUCACCCCUAGGACACAGUGCUUGCUUAUCAUUCAGUGGUUUGUUUGGUUGGUUUUGGUUUUACUAUAUUUUGUAAUUAAGUUUUUUUAAUUUUAAUUCCAGUAUAGUUAACACUCAGUGUUAUAUUAGUUUCAGGAGUCCGAUAUAGUGAUUCAACAAUUCUAUCCAUCACUCAGUGCUUAUCACGACAGGUGCAUCAUCUGUUUCCCCCCUAUCCCCACCUACCUCCCCUCUGGUCACCAUCCUUGUGUUCUCUAGAGUUAAAAGUCUGUGUCUUGGGGGCGCCCGGGUGGCUCAGUCGGUUAAGUGUUCGACUUCAGCUCAGGUCAUGAUUUUGCGGUUUGUGAGUUUGAGCCCCUUGUUGGGCUCUGCGCUGACAGCUCAGAGCCUGGAGCCUGUUUCAGGAUCUGUGUCUCCCUCUCUCUCUCAGCCUCCCUUGCAUGUGCUUGUGCGCUCGCUCUCUCUCUCUCUCACAAAAGUAAAUAAACAUUAAAAAUAAAAUAAAACAGUCCCUGUUUGCUAGCAUCCCUUACUUUGGAGAAUGACGCCCACUUCCCUUUUUGAUGAGAAACCCAUCCCCAACCCUCCAAGGCGCUGACCUCCUCAAUCAGUUGGACCCGACCAAUCAAAAGGCCGCCAUCCUUUUGCCCACAGUCAUUGGUCGAAGUGGGCCAAUUAGCAUCCUGUCUUCAACUUUUCUCCUCGAGCUCCUCCCGGAAAUUCUUCUGCCGGGGUUGCUUCAGCUGCAGGUUAGGUUCUUGAGCUGCUGCGGCCUCUCCUACCCCGAAGCACAGACUGACCUCUGAUGAUAUUGUUUGGGCUCCUGGCUCCCGCUGUCAGGUACAGCAGAGCCCAGAAAUGGAGAAAGAGAAGUCCUGGAUCGUCAUGUCGUCCCCGCAGAUUUCCACCUCCACAAAGGGACAUGCGAUGCUUCGGCCAAGUUUGGGGAGAUGGCGAGCCCCGAGGACCUAGGGCACCAAAGGUAAACAAGUCUUUUAUCGCCUCACCCAGUUGAAACACGAGGUCAGAAAAAUCCAAAAUGGAAAACAAUCUUCGGUCUUACCAGCUUUUAUCAGCAAGAACAGAAGCCUUUAGGACAGUAAGUUCUGAUCUCAACUUUACAACCCAAAGCACCUUGUUAAAACGGUCUAAAGGCAUAACUACUAUGGGCAAGCUACUUAUCCUUUAAGAUUUUGCACCUUAUAUUUUUAUUGUUUCAAAAAAAAAACAUCCCGGGAAGCCACUUCUUCAAUAAGUCCCGUAAAAAAAAAUGCUGUAAGACUUCUGCGUCAGUGGCAGAAUAGUUGCAGGAAUAUUUUAUUAAAAAGUUGCAAGAUGAAGCUAUACUAUGACCCCAUUUGUAUUUUUUAAAAAUGGAAGGGAAUACGAUGUAUUUUCCAUAGGUACAUGUUCAUGGAGCCAAUUUUUUCUUGAAGUCCACACAUGACACCAGUUAAGAAAGUGUGUUUUCUUACAGGACAAGGACCCAGAUGAGAAGGACCACAGGGGGUUUAGCCUUCACUGCAAUGUCUUAAUUUUUUAUUAUUUUUUUAAUAGUUAUUU